rnacentral:lncRNA from 1 species
CCCCACCAGCCUUCAGACCGAUUAAACACUACAUAGCAAGAGACAAUAGGCAAUUGCUCUAUAUAUGAUGGAGGAAGAAGAGACCUUCACCCCCCUUGAAAACUGUCUCGUUCAGGCCCUUCCAGAUCAAUUACAUGCAGUAGACAGUAAGGACUUUUUAAGGAUCAAGGAACAACUCUUAGAUAAAUCCUCCACUUGCCUAAUCCAAGCUCCAAUUUUCCAAUCAUGAAAAAAAUAUAAUUUGAGAUCCAACUUAAGCUCUCCCUAAAAGUUCACAUGAACUCUGCAAACUCGAUUGAGGUUCAGUUUAUAUGACUGCUUACAUAUUUAUGGUAGUAGUAUUUUCACAAUUAUGAUCUGCAACAGCAACGAAGUUGGUAGAAGAUUUUGGUAGUUUGAACACCAAGUUAGGGAUUUUCCUACGGCUGAAGAACUUCGGCAACCACACAUAAGCAAGAAAAGAAAAUUUCCCAAUGAAAACCAAAAUCAUAAACCAAAUAUUAACCUACGGCCAAUAGAUGAAAAUUCGUAGCGAAAUGCUUACUUUGCACACGGCCGAAGCGGAUGCAGAUCAUCUCCUACUUCGCGAUCAACAAAAUGCAACAGGCAUGACUUAUCGUCUCCCAAAUCCUCCUGGAUCAAAAUCGUCGGUACAACUGCACGCGGAACGAAGAAAAAUUAGAAGCGGGAAGAACAACCAAUUUCGUCCUGGAAAGAACGUAGCCUGAAUCAAGAAAGGAAAAAGGACCAACCAAGAUGGUUAGCGCCGAUCUUGAGGGUCUUGGAUUGCCGCAUCACGAACCCGACUUUGCCACAAAUCGUGAUCGAUCGGGGUUUGAGAGGGGCACGUCCUCAUCCUCGUCGCCGGCGGUGACUGCGACUUCCAAAAGGGGGUGACGAUGGGGGCGAUCUGAGUUCGACCAGACGGACGGUUGGCAACUGGGGUGGAGUGAGAGGUCGUUGGGGUCGGAAGAAGAACGCCAC